CGGAAGAUGUAACGGGGCUAAGCCAGUCACCGAAGCUGCGGAUAUCCUUUAUUGGAUAUGGUAGGAGAGCGUUCUGUAAGCCUGCGAAGGUGUCUUGUAAAGGAUGCUGGAGGUAUCAGAAGUGCGAAUGCUGACAUGAGUAGCGAUAAUGCGGGUGAAAAGCCCGCACGCCGUAAGCCCAAGGUUUCCUGUUCAACGUUCAUCGGAGCAGGGUGAGUCGGCCCCUAAGGCGAGGCAGAGAUGCGUAGCUGAUGGGAAGCAGGUUAAUAUUCCUGCACCGUCGUAUGAUGCGAUGGGGGGACGGAUCGCGGAAGGUUGUCUGACUGUUGGAAUAGUCAGUUUUUGACUCAUAGAAGGUGCUUAGGCAAA
rnacentral:rRNA from 1 species